rnacentral:rRNA from 1 species
AACGAACGCUGGCGGCAUGCCUAACACAUGCAAGUCGAACGAGACCUUCGGGUCUAGUGGCGCACGGGUGCGUAACGCGUGGGAAUCUGCCCUUAGGUUCGGAAUAACUUCGGGAAACUGAAGCUAAUACCGGAUGAUGACGUAAGUCCAAAGAUUUAUCGCCUAAGGAUGAGCCCCGCGUAGGAUUAGCUAGUUGGUGAGGUAAAGGCUCACCAAGGGCGACGAUCCUUAGCUGGUCUGAGAGGAUGAUCAGCCACACUGGGACUGAGACACGGCCCAGACUCCUACGGGAGGCAGCAGUGGGGAAUAUUAGGACAAUGGGCGAAAGCCUGAUCCAGCAAUGCCGCGUGAGUGA